UACGGGGGGGGCAAGCGUUGUUCGGAAUUACUGGGCGUAAAGGGCUCGUAGGCGGCCAACUAAGUCGGAUGUGAAAUCCCCAGGCUCAACUUGGGAACUGCAUCCGAUACUGGAUGGCUUGAAUUCGGGAGAGGGAUGCAGAAUUCCAGGUGUAGCGGUGAAAUGCGUAGAUAUCGGGAGGAACACCAGUGGCGAAGGCGGCUUUCUGGGCCUUACCUGACGCUGAGACGCGAAAGCGUGGGGAGCGAACAGG
rnacentral:rRNA from 1 species